CAAGGAUACCCUGACCGUGUGUGUGCCUCGUGCGCCGCCGCCGUCAAACUCCAGGCGUCUCUGAUUUCCGUUGAGUUGAUCCCGACGUCCACCGGCAGGCAGCCCAUACAGGUAGCAUCUUGAUCCUGUAUAUGCUCCACUGCCACCACGGUUGAUACGAACCUGACAAGCACCGGCAAGCGAUCCAUGCAUGACUUCUCCGAUCUAGACCCAUCUCCUUUAUAAGACUAUAUCCGGUGAUGCUUUGCUGCAGUGGCGACUACAGAUGAAUAACUAGCAGGUACCACUUGCAAUCAGACACACGAGGGCACCAAAAGUUUGAGCAGUAUGGAUCCUAUGAAUAACGUUCAAAUGCAUACGAGCCAGGGAGGAUUUAGUACGCCCAAAAAGAACAGAGACAUACCUCUCUUCUCUUCGUCUUUUAUGCCUGAAUGUAAUGAGCAUCUGAAGCCUAAAGUGGGUAUGACAUUUGAAGGACUCGAGGCCGUGGAGAAGUUCUACAAGGAAUAUGCACAUCAAUCAGGUUUUGGUGUUCGCAUUGGACAACAAAAAAAGAUUGAGAAUAAGGUGGUUCAUACUAAGCGUUUCAUGUGUAAUAGAGAAGGAUUCAAGGCAAAAGAUAGUAAAGAGACUAAUGACCCCUUGAGGAAAAGGCGUAAGCAGACAGAUACGCGAUGCGGUUGUGAUGUCCAUAUCUUUGUUAGACUUUGUGGGGAGAACACCUACAAGAUAGACUCACUGAUUGAGCACCACGUUCAUGGUCUUGUAUCGCCGAAGAAGCGUCAUUUGUCAGAUCAAAUCAUAGAGUUAGUGAGAGGGCAAAAAAUACUUUAUACACAUGUCAUAAGGCAAGUAUUGGAACGUCUCAGGCAUACAGGCUCCUGCAAGUUAGUGAUGGUGGAAUUCCGAAUGCUGGGUGCACAAAGAGGGACUUGCAGAAUUACUACCGCGGACUCAGGUAUAAAAUCAGAGAUGAAGAUGCUCAAAUGUUUGUGGCCCAAUUAGCUAGAAAGCAGGAAGUGAAUUCAGCUUUUUUCUAUGAUUUUGAGGUGAAUGAUGAGGGGGAGUUGGUGCGUGUGUUCUGGGCGGAUGCCACAAGCAGGAAGAACUACAGUCAUUUUGGUGAUGUGAUAUCCUUUGAUUCUACAUACACCACUAAUCAAUACAACAUCAAGGCAUGGACUGCUUAACAUCAAGUGUGUUGAACAUUGAGGCGCCUUUGGACCAAAUGAUCCCUCCAGCUACCCAAAGCACUAGGCAAGACCAAUAUGAGGCUUUUAUUGGUUGCAAUAUUCCAACUGAAGUUCAUAUACAUCCGCCAAUGGAUGUUCGUACCGUGGGGAGAUGCAAAAGAAUAAAGCGAGGAAAGGAGAUUAAGGAGGGGGUCGAAAAAAUAAGGACAAAGAAGGGAAGGUAAAGGUUGCACGCUUGUGCAAGACGUGCAAGCAAAUGGUGUUUCAUGAUAGUCGUAAUUGUCUAAGCAAAAAAAGGAAAGGGAGUGUGAUUGUGCAAGAUAUGCAGCCAAACGGUGCUUCCUGAUACAACAAGUUGUCCAAGCAAAGAAUAAAUUUAUCUAUGUUAUCAUGUACAUUUUGGUGUACUGAAUUCAUGUAAUGGAUUAGAAUUUGUGUUAUGUCAAAUUUUUUUCUUGAUUUAUGACAAGUUUA